CCUUAUGGUUUUGUGGCUUUGUGGAAUGGGACUGAUUUAUGUUUAAUCAUAGGUCCAAAGAUGAUUAAUUAUUUGGCCCAGAUUUUUGUCAUCUGUAUGUAACCAAUACAAAAGAAAAUUGGUCAAACCAUAUUAAUCUCUCCUCUUAAGUCACGGCCAUUAAUCUGUUUUGUAACAGAUGAAUAUCAUAUUUAAUUCUUGAAAUUAAGUCUGAUUGAUUCUCCAUUUGAUUGCACCGAUAUUUUUAGAUUCGUGUGAGACACUAUAAAAUGGUCUCGUGGCAAUACUCAUUGUAUACGUUC
rnacentral:lncRNA from 1 species